CCUGCCCCUAUAGGCUUUGCAAGUCUGGCUGCUGUGUCACAUGAGCGUCAGUAGGUGGUAGAGACGAGAGAGGCUGUGUCUACGCUCAGUGUUCUGACCUAUGAACAUCUGAAUGAUUACUAUCCUAACAUU
rnacentral:snoRNA from 1 species